rnacentral:lncRNA from 1 species
ACCACCGCAUUCUCCUCUGUCACCACCGGGUGGCGACAGAGAGCACGCCGGGAAAAAAAAACUUCCUCCGAGGGGCUCCUGGGCUCAGCGCUCUGCAAUCCAAUCUCACUGUGGACUCCUGUCUCAUCUCUGUGUCUCUGAGGCACCUGUCUGGUGUGAUAAUAGAAUGAGUGGAGUACGGGUCCUCUUAACGACUGACUUGUUCCAGAACCUCAGAACUGAAGUCUGCCAAAAGCUAUGAUGCCAGGCAGACAUCGGCAAUACUCUCUUCCCGUCCCUCGUAAUGAAUAAGAAGCCUUCUGCAGUCUGUGGCGCUGAGGCACAGGCCUGGUUUCUGCCUUCCAUCCGAUCCAAAGCAAUUCCAGAUUCUUCCAGGAUGUUUUUUAGGCACAGGCAUCGGAACUGCAGGCAUGCCCGUAUCUCUUCAACCAUGCCUGUGCUUCCAGCCACAGUUGUGGCAUUGCACUUUCAUGCCAUUCCUGCUUCACCGAAAUGCUGCUCUCAUUUCACUCUUCACCGUUGGAGUCCAUGUCUAUUAAUGGUGUAUGUCUGCAGCGGAGUGAGUGCUACAAAAGAUGGACUCUACCUAUAAUCAUGGCCCAAACUGGAAUACCUUUUAUUACUAUCCUCUAGCUCCUGAAAGGAAACCCCAGGCCGUGAAAUUCAAGCUGCAGCUGAGUAAGGGUGCUUCUCAGCCAUUCGGUAUUCCUCAGGUGAUAGCCCAAAAAACUUAGAAUACCCAAGAUACAAGAUACAAUUUGCAAAACACAUGAAACUCAAGAAGAACGAAGACCAAAGUGUGGACACUUUGCCCCUUCUCAGAACUGGGAACAAAACACCCAUGGAAGGAGUUACAGAGACAAAGUUUGGAGCUGAGACGAAAGGUGGACCAUCUAGAGACUGCCUUAUCCAGGGAUCCACCCCAUAAUCAGCUUCCAAACGCUGACACCAUUGCACACACCAGCAAGAUUUUAUCGAAAGGACCCAGAUAUAGCUGACGAAAUCCAGGCCCAUCCAUGUUCCUGAAAAUGUGAAGACUCCAUUCUUUUUAUGGCAGAAUACAAUUCCCAUAUGUGUAUAUACCAUAUUCUUAAAAUCCACUCUUCUGUCAAGGGAACUUUAGGUUGAUUCUAUAUCUUAGCUAUUGUAAAUAGUAUAGCAAUAAAUAUGGCUGAGCAAGU